rnacentral:rRNA from 1 species
UACAGAGGUCUCAAGCGUUGUUCGGAUUCAUUGGGCGUAAAGGGUGCGUAGGCGGCGGCGUAAGUCGGGUGUGAAAUCCCAGGGCUCAACCCUGGAACUGCACUCGAUACUGCGUCGCUGGAGGACUGGAGAGGAGACUGGAAUUCACGGUGUAGCAGUGAAAUGCGUAGAUAUCGUGAGGAAGGCCAGUGGCGAAGGCGAGUCUCUGGACAGUUCCUGACGCUGAGGCACGAAGGCCAGGGGGAGCAAACGGG